UACAGAGGGUGCAAGCGUUAAUCGGAAUUACUGGGCGUAAAGCGUGCGUAGUCGGUUAUUUAAGUCGGAUGUGAAAUCCCCGGGCUCAACCUGGGAAUUGCAUUCGAUACUGGAUAGCUAGAGUUCGGCAGAGGGGAGCGGAAUUUCGGGUGUAGCGGUGAAAUGCGUAGAUAUCCGAAGGAACAUCAGUGGCGAAGGCGGCUUCCUGGACCAGAACUGACGAUCAGGCACGAAAGCGUGGGGAGCAAACUGG
rnacentral:rRNA from 1 species